GUUUGUGUCCUCUCACACAUACUGAUAUUAGAAUGAUUCAGAGAAAGAUUAGUAUGACCCCUGCACAAGUAUGAUAUGCAAAUUCAUGAAGCAAUCCAUAUUUUU